UGGGGAAUUUUGGACAAUGGGCGAAAGCCUGAUCCAGCAAUGCCGCGUGUGUGAAGAAGGCCUUCGGGUUGUAAAGCACUUUUGUCCGGAAAGAAAUCCUUGGCUCUAAUACAGUCGGGGGAUGACGGUACCAGAAGAAUAAGCACCGGCUAACUACGUGCCAGCAGCCGCGGUAAUACGUAGGGUGCAAGCGUUAAUCGGAAUUACUGGGCGUAAAGCGUGCGCAGGCGGUUUGCUAAGACCGAUGUGAAAUCCCCGGGCUCAACCUGGGAACUGCAUUGGUGACUGGCAGGCUAGAGUAUGGCAGAGGGGGGUAGAAUUCCACGUGUAGCAGUGAAAUGCGUAGAGUGUGGAGGAAUACCGAUGGCGAAGGCAGCCCCCUGGGCCAAUACUGACGCUCAUGCACGGAAGCGUGGGGAGCAAACAGGAUUAGAUACCCUGGUAGUCCACGCCCUAAACGAUGUCAACUAGUUGUUGGGGGAUUCAUUUCCUUAGUAACGUAGCUAACGCGUGAAGUUGACCGCCUGGGGAGUACGGUCGCAAGAUUAAAACUUAAAGUGAUUGACGGGGGUCAUAGCUGUUUCCUG
rnacentral:rRNA from 1 species